GACGAACGCUGGCGGCGUGCUUAACACAUGCAAGUCGAACGGAAAGGCCCUGCUUUUGUGGGGUGCUCGAGUGGCGAACGGGUGAGUAACACGUGAGUAACCUGCGCUUGACUUUGGGAUAACUUCAGGAAACUGGGGCUAAUACCGGAUAGGAGCUCCUGCUGCAUGGUGGGGGUUGGAAAGUUUCGGCGGUUGGGGAUGGACUCGCGGCUUAUCAGCUUGUUGGUGGGGUAGUGGCUUACCAAGGCUUUGACGGGUAGCCGGCCUGAGAGGUGACCGGCCACAUUGGGACUGAGAUACGGCCCAGACUCCUACGGGAGGCAGCAGUGGGGAAUAUUGCACAAUGGGCGGAAGCCUGAUGCAGCAACGCCGCGUGCGGGAUGACGGCCUUCGGGUUGUAAACCGCUUUCGCCUGUGACGAAGCGUGAGUGACGGUAAUGGGUAAAGAAGCACCGGCUAACUACGUG
rnacentral:rRNA from 1 species